rnacentral:rRNA from 1 species
UUAAAGUAGUAAGGGCGCAGGGUGGAUGCCUUGGCACUAAGAGCCGAUGAAAGACGUGAUAAGCUGCGAAAAGCUUCGGGGAGGAGCACAUAUCCAAUGAUCCGGAGAUAUCUGAAUGGGGAAACCCGGCAGAGGAAACCUCUGUCAGCGUGCAGUGAAUACAUAGCUGUACGUGGGGAACCCGGGGAACUGAAACAUCUAAGUACCCGGAGGAAGAGAAAGAAAAUUUAUCGAUUUCCAAAGUAGCGGCGAGCGAAAUGGAAAGAGCCCAAACCGUGAUGCGUGCAUCGCGGGGUUCGGACUGCGUUGUGGCAGACGUAAGAUAGGAGAACGGACUGGGAAGUCCGGCCGGAGAGAGUGAAAGCCUCGUAUCCGAAAUCCCAAGUCGCCUAGCAGGAUCCAGAGUAGGACGAGACACGAGAAACCUUGUCUGAACGAGCGGGGACCACCCCGUAAGGCUAAAUACUUCUUAGUGACCGAUAGCGCAUAGUACUGUGAAGGAAAGGUGAAAAGUACCCCGGGAGGGGAGUGAAAGAGAACCUGAAACCCUGUGUCUACAAGCUGUGGGACCUCUUUAUAUGAGGGACUGCGUACUUUUUGUAGAACGGUCCGGCGAGUUGUGCGUACUGGCGAGGUUAAGGACUUAAGGUCUGGAGCCGAAGUGAAAGCAAGCGUUAAUAGCGCGUCAAGUCAGUGAGUGCAGACCCGAAACCGGGUGACCUAUCCAUGUCCAGGUUGAAGCUUCCGUAAGAGGAAGUGGAGGACCGAACCCACAUCCGUUGAAAAGGGUGGGGAUGAGGUGUGGAUAGCGGAGAAAUUCCAAUCGAACCCGGAGAUAGCUGGUUCUCCUCGAAAUAGCUUUAGGGCUAGCCUCAUGAGAGUCUUAUGGAGGUAGAGCACUGAAUUGCCUAGGGGGCGUCAAAGCUUACCAAAGCAUAUCAAACUCCGAAUGCCAUCAAGAUGAUUCAUGGGAGUCAGACCAUACGAGAUAAGUUGGAUGGUCAAAAGGGAAAGAGCCCAGACCUACAGCUAAGGUCCCAAAGUACGUGUUAAGUGGAAAAGGAUGUGGGGAUUCUAAGACAACUAGGACGUUGGCUUAGAAGCAGCCAUUCAUUGAAAGAGUGCGUAAUAGCUCACUAGUCGAGAGUCCCUGCGCCGAAAAUGUCCGGGGCUGAAACACGACACCGAAGCUUAGGAAUGUGUAAACAUUGGUAGAGGAGCAUUGCUGGCGGGAUGAAGCCAUACCGUAAGGAGUGGUGGACUGCCAGGAAGAGAGAAUGCCGGAAUGAGUAGCGAGAUGAAGGUGAGAAUCCUUCAGGCCGAAUAUCUAAGGUUUCCAGAGUAAAGCUGAUCUGCUCUGGGUAAGUCGGGACCUAAGGCGAGGUCGAAAGACGUAGUCGAUGGAUAACAGGUUGAAAUUCCUGUACCGCAUAUAAACAGAACUGUGGGGACACAGACAGGGAAUGGAAUCCGGGAAUGGAUAUCCCGGUGCAAGCGAGGUAGGAGUGCUGUUGGCAAAUCCGCAGCACGAUCUGAAGACGUGACGCGUACCGAACAUAAGUAGGGAAGUCCAGGCCCCUGGCUGUCAAGAAAAGCCGCUAUCGUUUUAUAUGUGCCCGUACCGCAAACCGACACAGGUGGAUGAGGAGAGAAUCCUAAGGCCGACGGGAGAAGUAUUGUUAAGGAACUCGGCAAAAUGACUCCGUAACUUCGGGAGAAGGAGUGCCAUGAGAGUGGCCGCAGAGAAAUGGCCCAAGCAACUGUUUAGCAAAAACACAGGUCUAUGCAAAACCGCAAGGUGAAGUAUAUGGGCUGACGCCUGCCCGGUGCUGGAAGGUUAAGGGGAGAGGUUAGCGCAAGCGAAGCUUUGAACUUAAGCCCCAGUAAACGGCGGCCGUAACUAUAACGGUCCUAAGGUAGCGAAAUUCCUUGUCGGGUAAGUUCCGACCC